UUAUUUUUUUAUUUUUUUUAUUUUAUUUGAGCUACUACCCCUAAUUUAAGGGAUUUCUUAAAAAAGGUAGAUUUGAUUGAAUUUGUUUUUCCUUUUUAAGAAAUCCAACACACAUGCACACCAACACGGAUCUCUCUCUUUCUCCUCUCUCAUUUCUCUCUCUCUUUCUCAUCUCUCUCUUUCUCCUAUUUCUCCCUCUCACUACCGCUAGCAACCAUCGGAUUCCGGCGAAUUUUUUGCCGGCUAACCACCGUCUCCCCAACAAGCACCACUACCCAAACACUCCUUUCUCUCCCUUUCAUCUCCGCUAAUACACGUUGCCUCGCCGAAAGUGAUGACCGGCGAGAACCACCUCACCAGCCGCACCGCCACCCUCUCUAGCCACGCCACCCUCACCAAAAUAUCACCUUCAUCGCCGACCACCCACCUCCAGCAAAACACCACGCGCCGCCCCUCCCUCCAUUAACCACCAGUAAAAGCUCCUCCAGCCAAACACCACCAUCACUGCUCGUCCCUCCUCCCUUUCUUCACUGUCCACCAGAAAAAACACCAGAUUUGGCUGGUUGUGGUGGCCUUUCUUCCUCUUUUCUUUUUUUUUUUUUUGGUAUUUAUGAUUGAUCUUUGCUUUUUACUGUUUGGCUUUAACACUUGUGUUCAUAUUUUUGCACAUACGUGGAUGAUAAUUAAUAAUUAUGUUAUUGUUUUAGCAUUGGUUGUUGAUUUUGCUCUUAUUAUUUUAGUUUUUUGGAACUGACUUGAUUAGUUUUCUCUACUAUGAACCACGUUUUAUAAAAAUAUAUAUAAAUCUUUACUGAUUUAUUAUAUUUUGUUUACUUUACUGAUUUGUCAUCCUUUUCUGAUUAUCUUCAUUGUUAAUAUUAAUUGAACCGAUAACUAAUUAACGUUUUGGGCCUUCUUUUGGAUUUUGAUUCAAUGUUCACGAUGCCUUAGUCUUUUGUAUUUAAUGUGAUAAAAUAGUAAUAUUUUCUCUUAAAUGUUUUUUGGUUUGCUACUGAUUUACUCCUGAAAAAAUAUCUAUUUUAAUUUUGCAUAAAGUUUAAGAAAAUAAAGAAGAUUUUUGUAUUUUAUGAUCUUAAAUUAAAGUUGUGUCAAAUGUAUCAAAAUAUUCUUUAAUCUUCUUAUGCUAAACAUGUUACAUGAAAAGUUUAAAUUAAAAUAUUGCAAAAAAAGGAAAGUAAUCAUUCUUUUUUAAACGGACAAAAAAAAUAGAUCUUUUUUUUAAACGAAGGGAGUAUUUGUUAUUUUUAAAUAUUUGGGUGGCUUCCUUAAUUAAUGUUUGACCAGUAAAAUUAUCUCUUCGUCUGGAUAUUUGAGGUCAUCUCAUUACAAAAGAUGAAUUUUAUUUUAUCAAAGUUAUUAUUUUAUAUUAAAGGCCGACACUUGGUUGAUGAAUAAAAUUUUUCAUCGAUUUUUGAGGCCUUCACAAAUAAAAAAAUGUAUAUUACGUAUAUAAAUAUGUAAUGAAAUAAAUAUUUUGGACAAUGACGAAAUUUUUAUAACAACAAAAGUGAUUUUAUGAUUCAUAUUUUGGUAAUGCGAUUUAGGAUGGUCAAUAAAUUGAGCAACCACUUUGUAGUCAUGGUAUACCUAAAAUCCGAUUCGAGCACAUAUUUUUAACGAAAAUUAUAUCUUUUUUAUACAAAUAUGCAUAUACACUUUCUCAAUUUAUUAAUUAUUUAUUUGUUACUAACAUUUUUAUUAUAAGUGUUUAUACAGGUUCUCAGGAAUACAUAUUGGAAACGACAUUCAAGAAAAGAGUAAAUUUAUAUUUGUAUUUUUUAUAUUCUUGUAAUUGUACAAAAAUAUUAAUCAUAGUGAAAUCUUUAUUUUUGGGGCAUUGGGCGGGUUAGUCUUUAUUUGUGCAAUCUACGUCACGCAUUUAGGCAAAUUUAGAUCGUAAAUAUUGAUAUUAAAUAUGUUUAGAUUAUUUAAUCAAAUAAUUCACACUUUGUUACACUGAAAUAUACUACGCAAUCUUUUCUUUAAAAUAAAUUUUUCUUUAUUCAUUCUUUUCAUUUUUUUCAUACAAUUUUCAUAAAUUUUCGUUUAUCUUCAUAGGCUUCUUGUACACAAAUUUUUUAUGACAACAUAUGUAAUUUAUACAUUCUUUAUAUAUAGAUUGUUUAUAUUAUUUUAAUACAUAUUUUAUAGUUGCAUUUAGAAACAUUAAUUUUUUUUUUGUUCUUUUAAUAAUAACCUAAGUUUUGCUAGAAACCACAUUUGUGGAUUAUGAUGAGUGCCUAACAUAUUUUCUUCGGAAUAAUUUGAAUCCUUAUUUAGAAUUUAAAUUGGUUCGUAGAUUAAAAUACAAGUCAUACUUCUUAAUAAGUAAAUAGGUUUCUUUAUUUUUUUUAAAAAUUAGGUGGUGACUCUGUAUAAAAAUUAAUUUUUUUGAGUCCAUAAUGGCGUACUCGUUUUGAUCUUAGGUAAAAAUUGGGUAUUACAGUUUGGCGACGCUGCUGGGGAAUACAAGGUUUUAGCCCUUACAGAUUUAGGUGAUGACCGGCGCGCACCACCACUCUCUCCAGCCGCCCCACCCUCACCUAAAAUAUCACCUUCAUCAGGGGCGGAUUCAUGUGUAAUUUUGAGGUGUUUCGACAUUCACUAAACUCGAUGAAGAUUAGAUUGAAUUCCUGGGUCCGCCGCUGACCUCCAUCGCCGACCACCCACCUCUAGCAAAACACCACGCACUGCCCCUCCCUCCGUUCCCCACCAGUGAAAGCUCCUCCAGGCAAACACCACCACCACUGCUCGUCCCUCCUCCCUUUCGUCACUGUCCACCAAAUAAAAACACCAGAUCUGGCUGGUUGUGGUGGCCUUUCUUCCUCUUUUUUUUUUUUUUUUUUGGUAUUUAUGAUUGAUCUUUGCUUUUUUACUGUUUGGCUUUAACACUUGUGUUCAUAUUUUUGCACAUACAUGGAUGAUAAUUAAUAAUUAUGUUAUUGUUUUA